GUCGAGAGGCUUCGGCAAUGGGGGAAACCCUGACCGAGCGACGCCGCGUGGGUGAUGAAGUUUCUCGGAACGUAAAACCCUGUCAGGUGGGAUGAAAUACCAUUUGGUUAACACCCAAGUGGCUUGACAGUACCACCAGAGGAAGCUCCGGCUAACUCCGUGCCAGCAGCCGCGGUAACACGGGGGGAGCAAGCGUUGUUCGGAUUCAUUGGGCGUAAAGGGCUCGUAGGUGGCUUUGUAAGUCGGAGGUGAAAGACCACGGCUCAACCGUGGAAACGCCUUCGAAACUGUGAAGCUUGAGGCUGGGAGAGGAAAUCGGAAUUCCUGGUGUAGCGGUGAAAUGCGUAGAUAUCAGGAGGAACACCGGUGGCGAAGGCGGAUUUCUGGACCAGUUCUGACACUGAUGAGCGAAAGCCAGGGGAGCAAACAGGAUUAGAAACCCUUGUAGUCC
rnacentral:rRNA from 1 species